rnacentral:rRNA from 1 species
AUUGAACGCUGGCGGCAUGCCUUACACAUGCAAGUCGAACGGCAGCACGGGAGCAAUCCUGGUGGCGAGUGGCGAACGGGUGAGUAAUAUAUCGGAACGUGCCCAGUAGUGGGGGAUAGCCCGGCGAAAGCCGGAUUAAUACCGCAUGAGACCUGAGGGUGAAAGCGGGGGAUCGCAAGACCUCGCGCUAUUGGAGCGGCCGAUAUCAGAUUAGCUAGUUGGUGGGGUAAAGGCCUACCAAGGCAACGAUCUGUAGUUGGUCUGAGAGGACGACCAGCCACACUGGGACUGAGACACGGCCCAGACUCCUACGGGAGGCAGCAGUGGGGAAUUUUGGACAAUGGGCGCAAGCCUGAUCCAGCAAUGCCGCGUGCAGGAAGAAGGCCUUCGGGUUGUAAACUGCUUUUGUCAGGGAAGAAAUCCCUUGGGAUAAUACCCCGGGGGGAUGACGGUACCUGAAGAAUAAGCACCGGCUAACUACGUGCCAGCCGCCGCGGUAACAC